rnacentral:rRNA from 1 species
CACGUAGGGCGCAAGCGUUGUCCGGAAUUAUUGGGCGUAAAGAGCUCGUAGGCGGUCUGUUGCGUCCGCUGUGAAAACUCGGGGCUUAACCCCGAGCCUGCAGUGGAUACGGGCAGACUAGAGGUAGGUAGGGGAGAAUGGAAUUCCCGGUGUAGCGGUGAAAUGCGCAGAUAUCGGGAGGAACACCGGUGGCGAGGGCGGUUCUCUGGGCCUUACCUGACGCUGAGGAGCGAAAGCGUGGGGAGCGAACAGG